rnacentral:rRNA from 1 species
UACGUAGGGUGCAAGCGUUGUCCGGAAUUAUUGGGCGUAAAGAGCUCGUAGGCGGUUUGUUGCGUCGGCUGUGAAAUCCCGAGGCUCAACCUCGGGUCUGCAGUCGAUACGAGCAAACUAGAGUGUUGCAGGGGAGACUGGAAUUCCUGGUGUAGCGGUGGAAUGCGUAGAUAUCAGGAGGAAUACCGAUGGCGAAGGCAGGUCUCUGGGCUGACACUGACGCUGAGGAGCGAAAGCAUGGGGAGCGAACAGG